ensembl:lncRNA
GUUCCCUUGGAGCACUGGAUGUCACUGCAGGUGGGCUGGUCAUGGACACACUGGGGAUGUCCAUCCACCAUCUUACACGUAGUUCCCUUGGGACAAUGGAGGUCACUGCAGGAAGGUCUCCUUGCGGCCACCUUGAGUUGGACACACCGUGGCCAACCUUCCACCAUCUGGCACGUGGUUCCCUUGGAGCACUGGAUGUCACUGCAGGUAGGUUGAUUUUGGACACACUGGGGAUGUCCAUCCAUCAUCUUACAAGUAGUCCCCUUGGGACAGUAGAUGUCAUUGCAGGAAGGCUUCCUUGGAGAUACCUUGAGCUGGACACACCGUGGCCAACCAUCCACCAUCUGGCAUGUGGUCCCCUUGGAGCACUGGAUGUCACUGCAGCUGGGCUGGUCAUGGACACACUGGGGAUGUCCAUCCACCGUCUUACACGUAGUUCCCUUGGGACAAUGGAGGUCACUGCAGGAAGAUUGCCUUGGGGCCACCUUGAGUUGGAUGCACCGUGGCCAUCCAUCCACCAUCUGGCACGUGGUUCCCUUGGAGCACUGGAUCUCACUGCAGGUAGGUUGAUUUUGGACGCAUUGGGGAUGUCCAUCUAUCAUCUUACAAGUAUUCCCUUGGGACAAUGGAGGUCGCUGCAGGAAGGCUGCCUUGGAGAUACCUUGAGUUGGACACACCGUGGCCAACCAUCCACCAUCUGGCACGUGGUUCCUUUCUGGCACUGGAUGUCACUGCAGGUAGGUUGAUUUUGGACACACUGGGGAUGUCCAUCCAUCAUCUUACACGUAGUUCCCUUGGGACAAUGGAGGUCACUGCAGGAAGGCUUCCUUGGGGCCACCUUGAGUUGGACACACCGUGGCCAACCAUCCUCCAUCUGGCAUGUGGUCCCUUUUUGGCACUGGAUGUCACUGCAGGUGGGCUGGUUAUGGACACAUUGGGGAUGUCCAUCCAUCAUCUUACACGUGGUUCCUUUAGGGCAGUGGAGGUCACUGCAGGAAGGUCUCCUUGGGGCCACCUUGAGUUGGAUGCAGCGUGGCCAACCAUCCACCAUCUGGCACGUGGUUCCUUUCUGGCACUGGAUGUCACUGCAGGUAGGUUGAUUUUGGACACACUGGGGAUGUCCAUCCAUCAUCUUACAGGUUGUUCCUUUUGGACAGUGGAUGUCACUGCAGGAAGGCUUCCUUGGAGAUACCUUGAGUUGGAUGCAGCGUGGCCAACCAUCCACCAUCUGGCACGUGGUUCCUUUCUGGCACUGGAUGUCACUGCAGCUGGGCUGGUCAUGGACACAGUGGGGAUGUCCAUCCAUCAUCUUACACGUGGUUCCCUUCGGACAAUGGAGGUCACUGCAGGAAGGCUUCCUUGGAGAUACCUUGAGUUGGAUGCAGCGUGGCCAUCC